rnacentral:rRNA from 1 species
UACGUAGGGUGCGAGCGUUGUCCGGAAUUAUUGGGCGUAAAGGGCUCGUAGGCGGUUUGUCGCGUCGGGAGUGAAAACACCGGGCUUAACUCGGUGCUUGCUUUCGAUACGGGCAGACUAGAGGCAUGCAGGGGAGAACGGAAUUCCUGGUGUAGCGGUGAAAUGCGUAGAUAUCUGGAGGAACACCGGUGGCGAAGGCGGCCAUCUGGACGGCUAUUGACGCUGAGACGCGAAAGCAUGGGGAGCAAACAGG